rnacentral:rRNA from 1 species
UACGUAGGGGGCAAGCGUUGUCCGGAAUCAUUGGGCGUAAAGAGCGUGUAGGCGGUCCGUUAAGUCGGCUGUGAAAGUCCAAGGCUCAACCUUGGGAUGCCGGUCGAUACUGCCGGACUAGAGUUCGGAAGAGGCGAGUGGAAUUCCCGGUGUAGCGGUGAAAUGCUUAGAUAUCGUCAAGAACACCGAUAGUGAAGACAGCUUACCAGCUUCAACUGACGCUGAGGCACGAAAGUGUGGGGAUCAAACAGGG